UUUGAAAUCCUUCGGGAGUUGUAAUUUGUAGGUUGGGAGACCCCGCGGCUAGUGGCACCAAGUCCCUUGGAACAGGGCGCCUUAGAGGGUGAGAGCCCCGUAGGUACCACAACACCGUCUUGUGUCUCCUCUCCAAAGAGUCGAGUUGUUUGGGAAUGCAGCUCAAAGUGGGUGGUAAAUUCCAUCUAAAGCUAAAUACCGGCGAGAGACCGAUAGCGAACAAGUACAGUGAUGGAAAGAUGAAAAGCACUUUGAAAAGAGAGUGAAACAGUACGUGAAAUUGUUGAAAGGGAAGGGCUUGCAAGCAGACACGGCCUUCGUGCCGGGCCAGCAUCGGUUGCUAGGGGUGGAUAAGGAACAAGGAAUGUAGCUCCUCGGAGUAUUAUAGCCUUGCGCGAUACACCCACUGGCGACCGAGGCCUGCGGUAUUCUUUACCUAGGAUGCUGGCGUAAUGGUUGCAAGCCGCCCGU
rnacentral:rRNA from 1 species